AUUGAACGCUGGCGGAAUGCUUUACACAUGCAAGUCGAACGGCAGCACGGGGCAACCUGGUGGCGAGUGGCGAACGGGUGAGUAAUACAUCGGAACGUGCCCAAUCGUGGGGGAUAACGUAGCGAAAGUUACGCUAAUACCGCAUACGAUCUACGGAUGAAAGCGGGGGACCGAAAGGCCUCGCGCUAACAGAUGAGCCCAAGUCGGAUUAGCUAGUUGGUGGGGUAAAAGCCUACCAAGGCGACGAUCCGUAGCUGGUCUGAGAGGACGAUCAGCCACACUGGGACUGAGACACGGCCCAGACUCCUACGGGAGGCAGCAGUGGGGAAUAUUGGACAAUGGGGGAAACCCUGAUCCAGCAAUGCCGCGUGUGUGAAGAAGGCCUGCGGGGUUGUAAAGCACUUUUGGCAGGGAAGAAAAGCACUGGCCUAAUACACCAGUGUGUUGACGUAACCUGCAGAAGAAGCACCGGGCUAACUCUGUGCCAGCAGCCGCGGUAAU
rnacentral:rRNA from 1 species